GCUGGGUAUGGUGGCCCAUGCCUGUAAUCCCAGCAGCUCAGGAGGCUGAAGCAGGAGAAUUGCGAGUUCAAAGUCAGCCUCAGUAACAGCAAAGUGCUAAGCAACCCAGUCACAACCUGUAUCUA
rnacentral:sRNA from 1 species